rnacentral:rRNA from 1 species
GACAGAGGUUGCAAGCGUUGUUCGGAAUUACUGGGCGUAAAGGGCGCGUAGGCGGCGUGUCAAGUCAGGCGUGAAAGCCCCGGGCUCAACCUGGGAACCGCGCUUGAGACUGGCAUGCUCGAGUUCGGGAGAGGAUGGUGGAAUUCCCAGUGUAGAGGUGAAAUUCGUAGAUAUUGGGAAGAACACCGAUGGCGAAGGCAGCCAUCUGGACCGACACUGACGCUGAGGCGCGAAAGCGUGGGGAGCAAACAGG